CCCCUCUCAGCAUCACAACUGGAGAGUUGACAGUACUCUACCAGUCUUGACUAUGGGAGGGAGAGUCAAGCAGAGGCAUAUCCAUUCCACUCCCAGCUUGGACAGUGGCUAGCGAGUGGAAGGCAAUCUGCUGCAAGU